GUGGGUAUAGCUCAGUGGUAGAGCACAUGCGCAGCAUACACAAGGUCCUGGGUUCAAUUCCCAGGACCUCCA
rnacentral:tRNA from 1 species